CCCUUAGAUGUUCUGGGCCGCACGCGCGCUACACUGAUGCAUUCAACGAGUCUAAAACCUGCUCUGAUAGGGGUGGGUAAUCUUUUGAAUGUGCAUCGUGAUUGGGAUAGAUGAUUGCAAUUUUUCAUCUUCAACGAGGAAUGCCUAGUAAACGCAAGUCAUCAGCUUGCAUUGAUUACGUCCCUGCCUUUUGUACACACCGCCCGUCGCUCCUACCGAUUGAAUGAUCCGAUGAAUAUCAUGGAUUGAGGAUUAUAGCAGGUUCGCCUGUCUUGAUCUUCGAGAAGUGAAGUAAAUCUUAUCAUUUAGAGGAAGGAGAAGUCGUAACA
rnacentral:rRNA from 1 species